UACUCUGUCCUAGGGAUAGAGACAACACUAGAACAGAACACUAGAACACACAGGUAGGUACUCUGUCCUAGGGAUAGAGACAACACUAGAACAGAACACAGAACACACAGGUAGGUUCUCUGUCCUAGGGAUAGAGACAACACUAGAACAGAACACAGAACACACAGGUAGGUUCUCUGUCCUAGGGAUAGAGACAACACUAGAACAGAACACAGAACACACAGGUAGGUUCUCUGUCCUAGGGA